UACGUAGGGUGCAAGCGUUGUCCGGAAUUAUUGGGCGUAAAGAGCUCGUAGGCGGCUUGUCGCGUCUGCUGUGAAAACCCGAGGCUCAACCUCGGGCCUGCAGUGGGUACGGGCAGGCUAGAGUGCGGUAGGGGAGAUUGGAAUUCCUGGUGUAGCGGUGGAAUGCGCAGAUAUCAGGAGGAACACCGAUGGCGAAGGCAGAUCUCUGGGCCGCUACUGACGCUGAGGAGCGAAAGCAUGGGGAGCGAACAGG
rnacentral:rRNA from 1 species